GUUAAAGGGAGGAAGUCCAUGUAAGGCUUGGUGUGGAGCCAGCAGGUUGCCAGACCUACCACUCCCCUCACUCCUGCCUGCAGUCUGCCACAGUAUAUACCAACAUUUUCAGUCGAUUCGGAACAUAGACUGCGUCAAUCAAACCUGCUCCAUCUCAGGGAUGGAACCCACCUCGUUCCGUCCACGGAGCUCAAACACGACAUCCUCGAGAGGCUAGCGGAGACCAUAGAUGCCUUGAAAGCAUAUAUAACAAAUGCUGAAUUUGAAGCUGUUGCCUCAGCACUGGUGCGAGCACUCCCAUGUCUCGAAGAACAAGGAUCAGUGUCCGGCUGGAGCGGUUGGAAAAACAGCUUGACAUUCAAGAUGGGGAAUUAACGAAACAAAAAUGCGUCAGCGGGGUUACCGUGAUGUCACCAUGAACGGCGGUAAACAUGGAAAGUACUCUCCUUGUGGAGAGCCACCUAACAAGAGAAUCAUGAAGCCAAAGAGAGGAGAAGUCAAUUACUUACCAGAUUAUCCAGAUGGGCAGGAUGACUCGAGCCUGCUGAAGAUGCUCGACAGCUCAUGGUGGAUGAAGUGAAAAGGAUAACCCCAAAUGGAGCCCUCACCAAGCAGAAGAUGGAUCUGACAUUCGCUCUUCGAAGGGAUGAAGUUGUGAAGGACAAGCCUGACAUUACCCAGAUAUGUCAACGUUGGUCAGCUCUCUUUACUGAUCACCAGCAGGGUGGUUGGUAAGAGCCUAAGGCAGGAGUUCUACGAGGCCCUUGACCAUCACAGUCCCAGGCUCAUGGAAAACUUCAAGGCAAAGAGGGGCCUCACAGGGCAGGUCUUGGCUGACCUGAUGCGACAAACAAAGGCUUCGGAUGACAGAAGUGAGAUGCCUUGUCCUCAGGGGGCUUCCUGUCAUUCUUGGCGAUGAUCCAUCCACCUUCUUCAAGGCCUGCUUUGUAAGCAACUUUGAUUUUUCUCUAUCUCCCUUUGCCCCCCUCCCCUCCUCUCUCCCUACUAGGGGUGUGAACGGGUACAAUUAUAUAUUUUUUUUAA